ensembl:lncRNA
GGCAGGCUCUGCUGGCACCUGCCCAGCCGGCUCUGAUCCUCUAAGCCAUGUCAGAGGUGGAAGUUUACAACAGACAUUCCCCUUCAGCCAUGCUGAAUGCCAGAGAAAAGACUGUCGUUAGCGACAGCAGCAGCCCACUGUGGAGCCAUCACGCGUCUACAGGCAAUGGAAGUAACAGUGGCCACCGAGACGUUUAACCCAGUCCAAGUCCCAGACGCCAGGGAGAGGGAAGGCCAAAAGCACCUUGGGGACGGGAAAAAAUGGAACCUCAUCUACACUGCAGGUCCCACUCCUGGAAAGUUUGGGUGUGUGGGGUGAUGCCAGGCAGACUAUUUAAAGCAGGGGUGAAAACAAAGGGACCUUGGAACAGGAUUUCCCGGCAUCUUUGGAAUGCGUCUCAGCAGGACCUGAGCAGGGCACCAACCAAAUAGCUUAGCUUCCUCAAGGUCAGGCCUACCGGGAGCAAUCAUCCUAAGUACCUGCUUUCCCAGACUGCACCACAGUCCCUCCUACCCGGAAAGAGGGCUGCAUGGCGUUUUAAUCUGACAAGCCCUGCUGUCUAGAGCCACUCCAGAUGAUUUAUCUGGCCAGCCUUUGCCACAGAGUAAGACUGGAGGCCCACGAGGGAAGAAGGAUCUCACGUACAAAGGAUUUAAGGGCAACUGUUCCAUGACCUUCAUUGAUCAGUUUAAAGUAUUACGCCAGUGCAACAAGUACUGUAAAAUGCUGGGGCUGAAAUCCCUUCAAAACAACAAUCAGAAAGCAAAGAAGUCAAGCCCUGGGAACAGCAAAGUUCAGACAAACUCUGUAACAGUGAAGAACCCAGAGCUUGGGGCCCCAACAGAAAAGAAAAGCUAGCAUCUCUCGCAAACUAGUGGCCACCAGCUAGCAGAACACAGGCUGUGAGUGAAAAUCUGCAGACGCCCAGAAGGUGGUAACACAGCCUGCGCGGAGUGUGUGGCAUUCCUUACUCCCAGCCGCCUGAGCCCCAAGAUGCUUCUGUCCUCAUCACCUGCCAACUAAUGAAAUGACCUCGGAAUGAGAUUUGUGACCAGACUUGUGGAGACACUGCGUCAGAUGUCAGUCUCAAAGACAGUCCCUUCUUUUUGCAUUGUUACCAAACUCACGUCUUCUGUCUGUCUGUGUAUUUUCACGUGGCUUUGUUGUCAAGGACUUGGUGCUGAGCAGGGUCUGUCCACAGCCCAAAUCCUUCCAGUCUCACUCCUCAGCUCAGGGUUCUAGGCCUAUCCAGCUUUGAUGUGAACACAAAUCGUCAAUGUCGAGUUUUGCACGAGUGUUGAGUAUGCUGCUAUUGCUGAAAGAGGCUCCCGAAAUGUAAGGCCACUUUCCACCAUUGUUCACAGUCACUUACAAUUUUCUGUUUCAUUAAAUUCAUAUUUAAACAAAAAGUGUAAGAUUCACUUAUCAUCAUACACAACAGUUCUUUGGAAUUUGUGCCGUAUUUCAUAUUCCUCCAGGAUUUAGUAAUUUCCUAAUAGGUUUACUGGAGCACAAAAUGUUUGCAACUAUGUUUCCGCUCAUUCCUACAUUAUAACUUGGGCUCCAUCACUUUCUGCUUUGCUCCUAAAUAUGGUCUCCUAAACCCAGGGCUGACCCUCAGUGGGUUACACCAGAGAUGGGGUGCCCAGCUUGCAGGGACCCUGCCCUCCUCUACUCCACAUGAGUUUCCUCAAAGGCCGAGCCUCCUUCCUUAGAGAUAGAUCCUUGUAGGAAAUUCUGGAAAAAGCAAAACUGAUGCAAGAGGACGUGUGUGCAGCCCCCUCUCAGAGGGGGCUGGUGGCCUUCAACAGGAGACUCUUGGCUUCUUUAGCUUUAGAAUAUUGUUCUCCUCAAGCCUGGGGUUUGAUUUUUAAAAGAAGGAGAACAUAGAUUGGAUUUUUGUUUUGAAAAGGGAUUUAAAGGAGAAAAUGCUUGUUG